UCAACGGAGAGUUUGAUCCUGGCUCAGGACGAACGCUGGCGGCGUGCUUAACACAUGCAAGUCGAGCGGUAAGGCUCCUUCGGGAGUACACGAGCGGCGAACGGGUGAGUAACACGUGAGCAAUCUGCCCUUUACACUGGAAUAACCCCGGGAAACCGGGGCUAAUACCGGAUACGACUUCUCGCGGCAUCACGAGAAGUGGAAAGCUCCGGCGGUGAAGGAUGAGCUCGCGGCCUAUCAGCUUGUUGGUGGGGUAAUGGCCCACCAAGGCGACGACGGGUAGCCGGCCUGAGAGGGUGACCGGCCACACUGGGACUGAGACACGGCCCAGACUCCUACGGGAGGCAGCAGUGGGGAAUAUUGGACAAUGGGCGGAAGCCUGAUCCAGCAACGCCGCGUGAGGGAUGACGGCCUUCGGGUUGUAAACCUCUUUCA
rnacentral:rRNA from 1 species